rnacentral:rRNA from 1 species
AUUGAACGCUGGCGGCGUGCUUAACACAUGCAAGUCGAUCGGUAACGCGGGGGCAACCCUGGCGACGAGAGGCGGACGGGUGAGGAACGCUUGGGAAUCUGCCUAUCAGCGGGGGACAACCCGGGGAAACUCGGGCUAAUACCGCAUACGCUCUACGGAGGAAAGCCGGGGACCGCCAGGCCUGGCACUGAUAGAUGAGCCCAAGUCGGAUUAGCUAGUUGGCGGGGUAACGGCCCACCAAGGCGACGAUCCGUAGCUGGUCUGAGAGGACGAUCAGCCACACUGGGACUGAGACACGGCCCAGACUCCUACGGGAGGCAGCAGUGGGGAAUAUUGGACAAUGGGGGAAACCCUGAUCCAGCCAUGCCGCGUGAGUGAAGAAGGCCUUCGGGUUGUAAAGCUCUUUCGGCCGGGAAGAAAUCGUAUCAGCUAAUACCUGGUGCGGAUGACGGUAUCGGCAUAAGAAGCACCGGCUAACUACGUGCCAGCCGCCGCUGUAAAAC